rnacentral:rRNA from 15 species
AAAAUGACUCUCGGCAACGGAUAUCUCGGCUCUCGCAUCGAUGAAGAACGUAGCGAAAUGCGAUACUUGGUGUGAAUUGCAGAAUCCCGUGAACCAUCGAGUCUUUGAACGCAAGUUGCGCCCCAAGCCUUUAGGUCGAGGGCACGCCUGCCUGGGUGUCACAC